rfam:Gossypium arboreum cultivar AKA8401 contig_83806_1, whole genome shotgun sequence.
AAACCAUGCAUCGGGCAUUUUCUAAUUAACUCCUUGAAUCACUCUCAUGCUUCAUAUAAUGUUUCAUCCUCAACUUUCCCAAAGGAUGUAAUAUCAUUCCUUAGUUU